AUCACGUUUCGCCCCUUGCAGGCCGGAAGCAGGCCUGCUCGCCUGGGAGCAUGUUUGGUCGAAUCUGGGUUGGGCGGCUUGGUCGCAGUGUGCCUGUGCUAGACUCGCGGCGCAUUCAUCGCGGCGCCCACAGCCACUCCAGUUCUCUGGUUGUUCUCGCGCGCCAGGAGCCGUGGGCCAGGCCAUCAGGCCAUACAAGUGCUGCUAAAGCGGCCUCGCCUUAGGCUGCAUCAUCUCGGGGAUGUUUCACUUGUGUCUUCUCCCAGUUUCAGCCCCAGCCCCUCGAACCCACCGGGUCUCCACAUCGCACUCUGAUCAAUAUCCCACAGGACUCAGUGACCUUUGAGGAUGUGGCUGUGAACUUCACCCAGGAGGAGUGGGCUUUGCUGGGACCUUCCCAGAAGAAUCUCUACAGAGAUGUGAUGCGGGAAACCUUCAGGAACCUGAUGUCUGUAGCAGUCAUAUGGUAGAGAGUCUGUGAAGGUAAAGAAGAUGGUCAAUGUGAAGAAAUCUUAAGCCUUAUUCCACAUGGUAUAGUGAAGGCGACCAUGUGAAAGCAGUGUGUGUGGAGAAGGCAACAUGGAUCAUUCAUCUCUUAAUUGCUGCAUCAGAGCUGACACUGGACACAAAUCAUAUGAGGAUCAGGAACACAGAAGCCAGAAGCCACAUAAGCAGUCACCAGUCCUGAUCCUGAAGUUACCUAGUAGCCGCAUCCUGAGUCACGUCAUUAGCACAACUCCAGACCCUUGAACUCUGAAGUACCCUCAGCCUGAGCCAGCACACAGUCUCUCUCCUUCACGACCCUGUGAAGAACAAGCUGAAGGCAGGGUAAAACACUCUCUGAUCUAGGAUGUGAUUUUCACUCUCCAUCCUGCCCUCCCCCUCCCACCUUGUUUGCUCUUCUGUUGGAAAGAAAAAACACUUUUCUGCCCAAUCUUUGAGAUGUUUGCUUAUCUUAUGCUUGGUGCUUCUCCCUUUCCCUCUUUGCAUUCCUUUCUAAUGAAGUCAUUUCUUCUAAAUCCCUA